rnacentral:lncRNA from 1 species
UGAUUUCUGGGCAGCCACCAAAAGCCACGAAUUUUGCCUCCCCCAUGGCCUCAUCUCCAUGGGUGAGGUCUCAUAUACAGCACCAAGAAGCCAUGGAGGAAGUGGAUAAGGGGCAGCGCUCCCCCAUGAUGGUCGCCCGGCGCUGGAGGAGCCCCAUGCGCCGCCGACGACCGCCGGCGCCCCCCUACACCUCACGUGCUGCCCCAUCUCCAUUCUCUCCGCCAUGAUGCCGCCUUCACCAACACCUCCAUCAUCAUCUCCUCCAUAGCUAUAGCGGUCCACUCUUCCAAAAACCUCUGUAAUCCCCUAUGUAAACAUGGUGUUUGAUGUUAUAAAUUAC